CAUAGCAAUUCAAAAAUAAAUCACUCAAAAAGUAUUCCUUAAACUCUUUUAGUUUUUUUUUUUAAUAAAAGAGGUGACACCUUUCUUAUAAUCAACGUUAUCAUGUGUACCUGUCCCGCCCUCUGCAGGUUGCCAAAGUGGACGUCGGGGAUGAAGAGGACGGGCUGUGCUUCCAGGUGGGGGAUGGUUUGCGGCCUACCUUGUCACAGAAGACCUUGAUCUGCGAGUAGGCCCUGUGCAGCGGCUUGUUGCUGCGGUUGUUGUAGCUGUACGUGUCAAUCUGGAUCAUCAGAGGAAGGCCCUUGACGCCCUUCUGAGACGAGAAGUCCGUACUCAGGCAGUUGACUGUGAUGAAGAUCUGAAGAGGAGGAGGGAGAGGUUGCGGGACUCACCAAUGUCCAGGACCCUCUGCUUGGCCGUGUGCUGCCGGGAAUGCCAGUACUUCCAGUAUUUAAGCUGCUCGUCCCGGUUCUUGUCCUCGCUGAACACCACCAUGAUUACACUCUGGACAGACCAGCAAGAUGCAAGUCGGAUGUCGAGUCGAAAGAAGGUCGGGUUUAAUUAUAAAGACCAGUCUCGCAAUACCACUUUCUACCUGAGGGGGCGAGCAACAGCAGUUUCGGUGUUGGGUUAGCUGGCUGAAGCGAAAGUAGCCUCACCUAUACUGCGAAGGGGUGGUCGUGGGACAAACCAAUACAAAUUUGCAUGUGCUUAUCUUCUUCUCUUCUCGAAUUGAAAUGGCAGCAUUUCUAACAUCCAUCAAACAGGAAGUGGCGAAAAGUGGGCGUACGAGACGAGAC